AUCCAAUGACUGAGAUCAAGAUCUUACCUCAUUUCCUUUAUACACAAAAAAGAGGGGAACCCUAAUCCAUUUCCACAAACAGCCGCACCUUCUCUCCCUCUCUCUCUACAAUAUCUCUCUCUCCCUAAAAUUUCUCUCCAUCAUCAGUCAAGCAGCGAUGUCGCAGCCCUCACACCACCAGACGGCGGACCCCGCCGCUGCUCUAAUCCCCUACCCGCCGUCGUCCUCCACCCGUCAACGAACCCGCCCAGAUCUGGCAAAAAACGAGUAACUUCAAAUUUAUUAAACUCAAAACUAACUUAAAGGUAGGUAAAUUCUUCAAUGCAUCAUUGAAUAACUUCGAAAAUUCACUUGCUUGAAAGUAUUUAACUAUAAUAAUAUGCAGGGUAGCAGAACAUGGUGUCCAUCCUUCAUUUCGUACCACCUACAUUUUAUAGAAAAUAAAAAUACAUUUGUGAAGAUACAAAAUGACAUUGUCUAAGUAAUUGUUUUAAGAAUAGAAAAAAAAAAGUUGGGUAAAAGGUUUUGGCAAAAAUGAAAAAACACACAACUUAAUAAAAGCUUGUACAUCAUUUCAAACCCCCCAGAACAUUGCUUUAGUAAAUUGUUUGUUGUGUCUAGGAAUUCAGUAAGCAUGUAUAUACACAAAUUAAUGUUUUUAAUGCAUCUCACCUAUACAAAGUAUUGUAUGACCAAGGAAACAUUAAUCCUCUUGGCGGUAUGCAGAUCUGCGGAAGCUCAGAUCUGCAGGUGAGGCCAUAAGGAUGAUUCAUUUUUCUGUAGAAGUGGACAUUUUAGUCCAACUUCUUUCUAGUACUAAUUACUACCCAUAAUCUGAAAAGAAAAUGAUAGAAAGUGAGCCAUUUUGUAGGUUUAGCUGAGACUUGGUCAAGAAUGUAUUUUUAUUCCGUAUGGGUUCAUUCCCCUUAAAAACGAUGUGCUUGCUACUAUUGUGUCAUGGUGAGUUUGUCUAAGUUCAGUCUUCUAGAUGUUUAUCUUUGGCAGUAAUUGAGCGUUGAUGAUUUAGAGAUGAACCAUUUCGUCCUCAUUCAUGGUGGUGGAUUUGGGGCCUGGUGUUGGUAUAAAACCAUUGCACUCUUAGAAGAAGUUGGAUAUAGAGUUACUGUAGUUGAUUUAACUGGUUCAGGCAUUCAUUCUUUUGACACAAAUAACAUCGCAAGCUUAUCUCAAUAUAUACAGCCGUCACUGAUUUUCUUUAAAAGCUUGCUGAUGGAGAGAAGUGCAUUACACGGAAAGCUAAUUCAGGCGGUAUUUGGAGUCUAUUCGAGUUAGCGGUUGAUCUAUGUAUCUGCAGUUGAACACUAACUUUUCUUAUCUACACUAUGUCUUAUUGUAUUCUGAGACAGAGUUUGUUUCCUUUUGGAUAUCAUAUGUGUAUUUUAAUUUUGAGUUGUAUUAGUUGGUUCGUACACUAUGACACUAGAUUUCGGGAUUUAGUUUGGUAUCUAUGAUUAUAUUUUUGCUUUUACUAUAUAUGUAAGGUUCGACUCUGUUCUAAGGGUCUUGCCUUAGGUUUUUA